rnacentral:rRNA from 1 species
GGGAUGGACUCGCGUCCGAUUAGGUAGUUGGUGAGGUAACGGCCCACCAAGCCGACGAUCGGUAGCCGGACUGAGAGGUUGAUCGGCCACAUUGGGACCGAGACACGGCCCAGACUCCUACGGGAGGCAGCAGUGGGGGAUAUUGCACAAUGGAGGAAACUCUGAUGCAGCGACGCCGCGUGAGGGAAGAAGGUCUUCGGAUUGUAAACCUCUGUCUUUGGGGACGAAAGAAAUGACGGUACCCAAGGAGGAAGCCACGGCUAACUACGUGCCAGCAGCCGCGGUAAUACGUAGGUGGCGAGCGUUGUCCGGAAUUACUGGGUGUAAAGGGUGCGCAGGCGGGAUGUCAAGUUGGAUGUGAAAUCUCUAGGCUUAACCUAGAGUGUGCAUUCAAAACUGGCGUUCUUGAGUGAAGCAGAGGUAGGCGGAAUUCCCGGUGUAGCGGUGAAAUGCGUAGAGAUCGGGAGGAACACCUGUGGCGAAGGCGGCCUACUGGGCUUUAACUGACGCUGAGGCACGAAAGCAUGGGCAGCAAACAGGAUUAGAUACCCUGGUAGUCCAUGCUGUAAACGAUGAUUGCUAGGUGUGGGUGGACUGACCCCAUCCGUGCCGGAGUUAACACAAUAAGCAAUCCACCUGGGGAGUACGGCCGCAAGGUGAA